rnacentral:rRNA from 1 species
UGGUUUGUCGCGUCGUCUGUGAAAUCCCGGGGCUUAACUUCGGGCGUGCAGGCGAUACGGGCAUAACUUGAGUGCUGUAGGGGAGACUGGAAUUCCUGGUGUAGCGGUGAAAUGCGCAGAUAUCAGGAGGAACACCAAUGGCGAAGGCAGGUCUCUGGGCAGUAACUGACGCUGAGGAGCGAAAGCAUGGGUAGCGAACAGGAUUAGAUACCCUGGUAGUCCAUGCCGUAAACGGUGGGCGCUAGGUGUAGGGGACUUCCACGUCUUCUGUGCCGCAGCUAACGCAUUAAGCGCCCCGCCUGGGGAGUACGGCCGCAAGGCUAAAACUCAAAGGAAUUGACGGGGGCCCGCACAAGCGGCGGAGCAUGUGGAUUAAUUCGAUGCAACGCGAAGAACCUUACCUGGGCUUGACAUACACCAGAUCGCUGCAGAGAUGUAGCUUCCCUUGUGGCUGGUGUACAGGUGGUGCAUGGUUGUCGUCAGCUCGUGUCGUGAGAUGUUGGGUUAAGUCCCGCAACGAGCGCAACCCUUGUCUUAUGUUGCCAUCACGUGAUGGUGGGCACUCAUGAGAGACUGCCGGGGUUAACUCGGAGGAAGGUGGGGAUGACGUCAAAUCAUCAUGCCCCUUAUGUCCAGGGCUUCACACAUGCUACAAUGGUCGGUACAGCGAGUUGCCACACCGUGAGGUGGAGCUAAUCUCUCAAGGCCGGCCUCAGUUCGGAUUGGGGUCUGCAACUCGACCCCAUGAAGUCGGAGUCGCUAGUAAUCG